CGACCUCAGAGCAGGCGAGACUACCCGCUGAAUUUAAGCAUAUUACUAAGCGGAGGAAAAGAAACUAACAAGGAUUCCCCCAGUAGCGGCGAGCGAACAGGGAAGAGUCCAGCACCGAACCCCGCAGGCUGCCGCCUGUCGUGGCAUGUGGUGUUUGGGAGGGUCCACUACCCCGACGCCUCGCGCCGAGCCCAAGUCCAACUUGAAUGAGGCCACGGCCCGUAGAGGGUGCCAGGCCCGUAGCGGCCGGUGCGAGCGUCGGCGGGACCUCUCCUUCGAGUCGGGUUGCUUGAGAGUGCAGCUCCAAGUGGGUGGUAAACUCCAUCUGAGACUAAAUAUGACCACGAGACCGAUAGCGAACAAGUACCGUGAGGGAAAGUUGAAAAGAACUUUGAAGAGAGAGUUCAAAAGUACGUGAAACCGUUCUGGGGUAAACGUGAGAAGUCCGAAAGGUCGAACGGGUGAGAUUCACGCCCAUCCGGCCACUGGCCUCCGCCCUCGGCAGAUGGGGCCGGCCGCCCGCGCGGAGCAAUCCGCGGCGGGGUCGUGUCCGGUUGCCUUUCCACUCGCCGCGGUGGGGCCGUUCCGGUGUGCGGUGGGCCGCACUUCUCCCCUAGUAGGACGUCGCGACCCGCUGGGUGCCGGCCUACGGCCCGGGUGCGCAGCCUGUCCUUCCGCGGGCCUCGGUUCGCGUCUGUUGGGCAGAGCCCCGGUGUCCUGGCUGGCUGCCCGGCGGUAUAUCUGGAGGAGUCGAUUCGCCCCUUUGGGCGCUCGGGCUCCCGGCAAGCGCGCGCGGUUCUUCCCGGAUGACGGACCUACCUGGCCCGGCCCCGGACCCGCGCCGCUGUUGGCUCGGGAUGCUCUCGGGCGGAAUAAUCGCUCCCGUCAGCGGCGCUUCAGCUUUGGACAAUUUCACGACCCGUCUUGAAACACGGACCAAGGAGUCUAACAUGUGCGCGAGUCAUUGGGCUGUACGAAACCUAAAGGCGUAAUGAAAGUGAAGGUCUCGCCUUGCGCGGGCCGAGGAGGAUGGGGCUUCCCCGCCCUUCACGGGGCGGCGGCCUCCGCACUCCCGGGGCGUCUCGUCCUCAUUGCGAGGUGAGGCGCACCUAGAGCGUACACGUUGGGACCCGAAAGAUGGUGAACUAUGCCUGGCCAGGACGAAGUCAGGGGAAACCCUGAUGGAGGUCCGUAGCGAUUCUGACGUGCAAAUCGAUCGUCGGAGCUGGGUAUAGGGGCGAAAGACUAAUCGAACCAUCUAGUAGCUGGUUCCCUCCGAAGUUUCCCUCAGGAUAGCUGGUGCUCGUACGAGUCUCAUCCGGUAAAGCGAAUGAUUAGAGGCCUUGGGGCCGAAACGACCUCAACCUAUUCUCAAACUUUAAAUGGGUGAGAUCUCCGGCUUGCUUGAUAUGCUGAAGCCGCGAGCAAACGACUCGGAUCGGAGUGCCAAGUGGGCCACUUUUGGUAAGCAGAACUGGCGCUGUGGGAUGAACCAAACGCCGAGUUAAGGCGCCCGAAUCGACGCUCAUGGGAAACCAUGAAAGGCGUUGGUUGCUUAAGACAGCAGGACGGUGGCCAUGGAAGUCGGAAUCCGCUAAGGAGUGUGUAACAACUCACCUGCCGAAGCAACUAGCCCUGAAAAUGGAUGGCGCUGAAGCGUCGUGCCUAUACUCGGCCGUCAGUCUGGCAGUCAUGGCCGGUCCUUGCGGCCGGCCGCGAAGCCCUGACGAGUAGGAGGGUCGCGGCGGUGGGCGCAGAAGGGUCUGGGCGUGAGCCUGCCUGGAGCCGCCGUCGGUGCAGAUCUUGGUGGUAGUAGCAAAUACUCCAGCGAGGCCCUGGAGGGCUGACGCGGAGAAGGGUUUCGUGUGAACAGCCGUUGCACACGAGUCAGUCGAUCCUAAGCCCUAGGAGAAAUCCGAUGUUGAUGGGGGCCGUCAUAGCCUGAUGCACUUUGUGCUGGCCCCCGUUGGGCGAAAGGGAAUCCGGUUCCUAUUCCGGAACCCGGCAGCGGAACCGAUACAAGUCGGGCCCCUCUUUUAGAGAUGCUCGUCGGGGUAACCCAAAAGGACCCGGAGACGCCGUCGGGAGAUCGGGGAAGAGUUUUCUUUUCUGCAUGAGCGUUCGAGUUCCCUGGAAUCCUCUAGCAGGGAGAUAGGGUUUGGAACGCGAAGAGCACCGCAGUUGCGGCGGUGUCCCGAUCUUCCCCUCGGACCUUGAAAAUCCGGGAGAGGGCCACGUGGAGGUGUCGCGCCGGUUCGUACCCAUAUCCGCAGCAGGUCUCCAAGGUGAAGAGCCUCUAUUGUCGAAUAGAAUAAUGUAGGUAAGGGAAGUCGGCAAAUUGGAUCCGUAACUCGGGAUAAGGAUUGGCUCUGAGGAUCGGGGCGUGUCGGGCUUGGUCGGGAAGUGGGUCAGCGCUAACGUGCCGGGCCUGGGCGAGGUGAGUGCCGUAGGGGUGCCGGUAAGCGCGGGCGUUUAGCGCGGGCGUGGUCUGCUCUCCGCC
rnacentral:rRNA from 1 species